AGAUUGAACGCUGGCGGCAGGCCUAACACAUGCAAGUCGAGCGGCAGCACGGGUACUUGUACCUGGUGGCGAGCGGCGGACGGGUGAGUAAUGCCUAGGAAUCUGCCUGAUAGUGGGGGAUAACGUUCGGAAACGGACGCUAAUACCGCAUACGUCCUACGGGAGAAAGUGGGGGAUCUUCGGACCUCACGCUAUCAGAUGAGCCUAGGUCGGAUUAGCUAGUUGGUAGGGUAAAGGCCUACCAAGGCUACGAUCCGUAACUGGUCUGAGAGGAUGAUCAGUCACACGUGGAACUGAGACACGGUCAGACU
rnacentral:rRNA from 1 species